CAGAGUAAGAGCUGACCAAGGAGAUGAAAAUGUCAAGAUUGCUGAAAUGAUGUUCACUGUGAGAGGCACAGGAUGUGGAAGCUUCAUAAGUGGAAAAAGCGUGCACAACCAGAGAAUUGAGCGCCUAUGGAGGGACGUUUGGACAGGGGUGACAGACAUUUAUUAUGAUGUACUACACAGCUUGGAGGAAGAUGGAUUUCUUAACAUCUCAGAUAGUCUUCAUCUCUUCUGUGCCCAUUACACCUUCCUCCCAAGACUCAAAGUGGAUUUGGCCAAGUUUUCUGCUGGCUGGAAUGAUCAUUCCAUCAGGACAGAGCAUAGCCUUUCACCAAACCAGCUGUGGGAACCUGGGAUGCUGCAGCACCCCAUCAGAGAGCCACAGAGAUCUGAAGAAAAUUUGGCAGAAAUCCAAAUUGAGAGCAUUGAUUGGGAGAGUGCAGGGCUAUCCCAUCAUAACAACCCAGGUGUUUUGGUGCCAGAAAUGGAAUGUCCACUGAAUGCUGAAGAUAUUGAAUCUCUACGCAUUUCCAUAGAUCCUCUUGUGCCUUCAUGUAGUUUUGGAAGAGACAUUUACCGGACCACACUCUCACAUGCUCUUCACCUACAUCACCAUCCCUGAAAGUUGCAGCUUGGCCCAUCAGAGAGUAAAAUUAUAAGUACAUGUAAUUUUACAAACUGCUAGUGAUAGUUUUUCUUUUAAGUAAUCCCUUCUUCCAAGAAGAAUAAGAACCUCUCCUUGUUUUAAUGGUAAUUUUCAUUUUCUUACUUUCUGUUACACUCACGAACCCAAAUAGAUACUGACAAGCUGACACAGUCAAAUGGAGGAGGGAAAGAAAUCAGCAAGGACUACAUUGACAAAAACUUUUUUUUUAAUAAUUUCAAAGGCAAUAAACAGAAUGCUUAAAAAACUGUAAAA